rnacentral:rRNA from 1 species
GGGAGGUAGUGACAAUAAAUAACAAUACAGGGUUCUUUUGGAUCUUGUAAUUGGAAUGAGUACAAUUUAAAUCUCUUAACGAGGAACAAUUGGAGGGCAAGUCUGGUGCCAGCAGCCGCGGUAAUUCCAGCUCCAAUAGCGUAUAUUAAAGUUGUUGCAGUUAAAAAGCUCGUAGUUGAAUUUCGGGAUCAAAGGAUCGGUCAUGCCUUGGUAUGUACUGGUUUUAUUGGUUCUCACCUUCUAAAGAACCAUGAUGUCAUUCAUUUGAUGUUAUGGGGAAUUAGGACUGUUACCUUGAAAAAAAUUAGAGUGUUUAAAGCAAGCUUACGCUUGAAUACAUUAGCAUGGAAUAAUGAAAUAGGACAUCAGAUUCUAUUUGUUGGUUUCUAGGAUCGAUGUAAUGAUUAAUAGGGAUAGUUGGG